rnacentral:rRNA from 1 species
CCUACGGGAGGCAGCAGUGAGGAAUAUUGGUCAAUGGACGCAAGUCUGAACCAGCCAUGCCGCGUGCAGGAAGACGGCUCUAUGAGUUGUAAACUGCUUUUGUACGAGGGUAAACGCUGAUACGUGUAUCUGUCUGAAAGUAUCGUACGAAUAAGGAUCGGCUAACUCCGUGCCAGCAGCCGCGGUAAUACGGAGGAUUCAAGCGUUAUCCGGAUUUAUUGGGUUUAAAGGGUGCGUAGGCGGUCGGAUAAGUUAGGGGUGAAAUCGCGGGGCUUAACUUCGGAAUUGCCUGUGAUACUGUUAGGCUAGAGAGUAGUUGAGGUAGGCGGAAUGUAUGGUGUAGCGGUGAAAUGCUUAGAGAUCACACAGAACACCGAUUGCGAAGGCAGCUUACCAAGCUACUUCUGACGUUGAGGCACGAAAGCGUGGGGAGCGAACAGGAUUAGAUACCCCGGUAGUC